rnacentral:rRNA from 1 species
GCUGGCGGCAGGCUUAACACAUGCAAGUCGAACGCGUGUAGCAAUACACGAGUGGCGCACGGGUGAGUAACGCGUGGAUAUCUGCCUUUUGGUUCGGAAUAACCCCGGGAAACUGGGGCUAAUACCGGAUGGUUCCUUCGGGAUAAAGAUUUAUCGCCAAAAGAUGAGUCCGCGUACGAUUAGCUAGUUGGUGAGGUAAUGGCUCACCAAGGCGACGAUCGUUAGCUGGUCUGAGAGGACGAUCAGCCACACUGGGACUGAGACACGGCCCAGACUCCUACGGGAGGCAGCAGUGGGGAAUAUUGGACAAUGGGGGCAACCCUGGUCCAGCCAUGCCGCGUGAGUGAUGAAGGCCUUCGGGUUGUAAAGCUCUUUUGGCGGGGACGAUGAUGACGGUACCCGCAGAAUAAGCCCCGGCUAACUUCGUGCCAGCAGCCGCGGUAAGACGAAGGGGGCUAGCGUUGUUCGGAAUUACUGGGCGUAAAGCGCGUGUAGGCGGUUAUCCAAGUCAGGUGUGAAAGCCUUGAGCUCAACUCAAGAAAUGCACUUGGUACUGGGUGACUAGAGGACCGGAGAGGAUAGUGGAAUUCCCAGUGUAGUGGUGAAAUAC